GACGAACGCUGGCGGCGUGCUUAACACAUGCAAGUCGAACGGAAAGGCCCUGCUUUUGUGGGUUGCUCGAGUGGCGAACGGGUGAGUAACACGUGAGUAACCUGCCCUUGACUUUGGGAUAACUUCAGGAAACUGGGGCUAAUACCGGAUAUGAGCUCCUGCUGCAUGGUGGGGGUUGGAAAGUUUCGGCGGUUGGGGAUGGACUCGCGGCUUAUCAGCUUGUUGGUGGGGUAGUUGCUUACCAAGGCUUUGACGGGUAGCCUGCCUGAGAGGGUGACCGGCCACAGUGGGACAGAGAUACGGCCCAGACUCCUACGGGAGGAAGCAGUGGGGAAUAUUGCACAAUGGGCGGAAGCAGGAUGCAGCAACGCCGCGUGCGGGAUGACGGCCUUCGGGUUGUAAAACGCUUGCGACUGUGACGAAGCGUGAGUAACGGUAAUGGGCAAAGAAGCACGGGCUAACUACGU
rnacentral:rRNA from 1 species